rnacentral:rRNA from 1 species
CCUGCGCGUGAGCGUGACGAAUGGAUCAAGCGUCUUAAGGGCAUCUGGUGGAUGCCUUGGCACUGAGAGGCGAUGAAGGACGUGGCACGCUGCGAUAAGUCAUGGGGAGCUGCGAGCAAGCUUUGAUCCGUGAAUUUCCGAAUGGGGAAACCCACCUAGCAAUAGGUAUCCCAAACUGAAUACAUAGGUUUGGGAAGCGAACCCGGGGAACUGAAACAUCUAAGUACCCGGAGGAAAGGACAUCAACCGAGACUCCGCUAGUAGUGGCGAGCGAACGCGGACCAGGCCAGUGGUCAAUUCUACAUAACUGGAACCGUCUGGAAAGUCGGGCCAAAGCGGGUGAUAGCCCCGUACAGGUAAAUCGGAAUUGAUCCUCGAGUAGGGCGGGACACGUGAAAUCCUGUCUGAACAUGGGGGGACCACCCUCCAAGCCUAAGUACUCCUCAGUGACCGAUAGUGAACCAGUACCGUGAGGGAAAGGUGAAAAGCACCCCGACGAGGGGAGUGAAACAGCACCUGAAACCGGAUGCCUACAAACAGUCGGAGCCUCCUUGCGGGGUGACGGCGUACCUUUUGUAUAAUGGGUCAGCGACUUACAGUCGGCAGCAAGCUUAAGGCGAUAGCUGGAGGCGUAGCGAAAGCGAGUCUGAAUAGGGCGCUUUAGUUGCCGGUUGUAGACCCGAAACCUGAUGAUCUAGCCAUGGCCAGGUUGAAGGUGCAGUAACAUGCACUGGAGGACCGAACUCACGCCUGUUGAAAAAGUCGGAGAUGAGCUGUGGCUAGGGGUGAAAGGCCAAUCAAAUCAGGAAAUAGCUGGUUCUCCGCGAAAGCUAUUUAGGUAGCGCGUCGGAUGGUUACCGCCGGGGGUAGAGCACUGGAUGGGCUAGGGGGGCGCAAGCCUUACCAAACCUAACCAAACUCCGAAUACCGGUGAGUAUAGUCCGGCAGGCAGACGGUCGGUGCUAAGGUCGAUCGUCAAGAGGGAAAGAGCCCAGACCGCCAGCUAAGGUCCCCAAGUGGUGGCUAAGUGGGAAAGGAUGUGGGAAGGCCAUGACAACCAGGAGGUUGGCUUAGAAGCAGCCAUCCUUUAAAGAAAGCGUAAUAGCUCACUGGUCUAGAUAAGCCGGCCUGCGCCGAAAAUGUAACGGGGCUUAAGCCACCCACCGAAGCUGCGGGUUCAAUCGCAAGAUUGAGCGGUAGCGGAGCGUUCCGUAGGCCGUCGAAGGUGUGUCGCGAGGCAUGCUGGAGGUAUCGGAAGUGCGAAUGCUGACAUGAGUAGCGACAAAGAGUGUGAGAAACACUCUCGCCGAAAGUCCAAGGGUUCCUGCGCAAGGUUAAUCCACGCAGGGUGAGCCGGCCCCUAAGGCGAGGCCGAAAGGCGUAGUCGAUGGGAACCACGUUAAUAUUCGUGGGCCAGCGGGUGAGUGACGGAUCUGAAAACCAGUGUGCCCUUAUCGGAUUGGGUGCGCUGCGGACAGGUUCCAGGAAAUAGCCCCCGCAUAAGACCGUACCCGAAACCGACACAGGUGGACAGGUAGAGUAUACCAAGGCGCUUGAGAGAACGGUGUUGAAGGAACUCGGCAAAUUACUCGCGUAACUUCGGGAUAAGCGAGCCCCGUUUCUGGGCAACCAGGGGCGGGGGACACAAACCAGGGGGUAGCGACUGUUUACCAAAAACACAGGGCUCUGCGAAGCCACACAAGGCGACGUAUAGGGUCUGACGCCUGCCCGGUGCCGGAAGGUUAAAAGGAGGUGUGCAAGCACUGAAUUGAAGCCCCGGUAAACGGCGGCCGUAACUAUAACGGUCCUAAGGUAGCGAAAUUCCUUGUCGGGUAAGUUCCGACCUGCACGAAUGGCGUAACGACUUCCCCACUGUCUCCAACACCGACUCAGCGAAAUUGAAUUCCCCGUGAAGAUGCGGGGUUCCCGCGGUCAGACGGAAAGACCCUAUGAACCUUUACUGCAACUUUGCAGUGGCGUUAGGAAUGGCAUGUGUAGGAUAGGUGGGAGGCUUUGAAGCAUGGGCGCCAGCUCGUGUGGAGCCGUCCUUGAAAUACCACCCUUGCAAUUCUUGACGUCUAACCGAGCC